GGAUGUGAGGACGAUCUGGCUGUGACCUCUGUCACCCCAUUGAUCACCAGGAUUGAUUCAGCUGAUCUAACAGGCAGAUGUCCCCUUACUCCCUCACUACCCCAUGUGUGUCCUCCCAAAGCUGAGCUCUGUGUCAAAGAGGUCGACAGUCCCUUCAUAGAGGAAGGCUGUUCUUUGGUCAAGGGUAUAUGAGUAGCUGUGGUUCCCUGCUAGAACCUUCUUUUUCU
rnacentral:snRNA from 14 species